CAGCAGCCGCGGGAAUACAGAGGAUGCAAGCGUUAUCCGGAAUGAUUGGGCGUAAAGCGUCUGUAGGUGGCUUUUCAAGUCCGCCGUCAAAUCCCAGGGCUCAACCCUGGACAGGCGGUGGAAACUACCAAGCUGGAGUACGGUAGGGGCAGAGGGAAUUUCCGGUGGAGCGGUGAAAUGCGUUGAUAUGCGGAGGAACACCGAUGGCGAAGGCAAUCCCCUGGGCCUGCACUGACGCUCAUGCACGAAAGCGUGGGGAGCAAACAGGAUUAGAUACCCCUGUAGUCCCUGUCUCUUAUAC
rnacentral:rRNA from 1 species